rnacentral:lncRNA from 1 species
ACUCCUAAACCUAAAAAAUAAUCCUCAUCCCUUCCUCUCCUCUCUCAACAGCUCCGCCUCCCUUCCCCUUCGUCCUUCUCUCAUCUUCUCCGGCGAGAAGCGAAUGCCGGAGAACCUUCCUCCCUUCUCCUCUUUCUCUCCCAUGUCCCUUCCCUUCACUAUAUUUUUUUUUGCAGGAACCAACCAGCGAAGGCAGUAGCCACAUGAGGCCAGCGACACCGGCGGAAAACCAGCCAGCUCCGACCACGAGCCC